rnacentral:rRNA from 1 species
UAUGUGAUCGUCUCUCGCAUAUCAAUAAGCGGAGGAAAAGAAACUAACAAGGAUUCCCCUAGUAACGGCGAGUGAAGCGGGAAGAGCUCAAAUUUGAAAUCUUAAAGGGUUUCCCUUUACGAAUUGUAGUUUAAAGAAGUGUUUUCUGUUGAGGUUUUGGUAAAAGUUCUUUGGAAUAGGACAUCAUAGAGGGUGAGAAUCCCGUAUUUGACCUUUACUUUCAACUUUGUGAUACACUUUCAAAGAGUCGGAUUGUUUGGGAAUGCAGUCCAAAAUGGGUGGUAAAUUUCAUCUAAAGCUAAAUAUUGGCGAGAGACCGAUAGCGAACAAGUACCGUGAGGGAAAGAUGAAAAGAACUUUGAAAAGAGAGUUAAACAGUACGUGAAAUUGUCAAAAGGGAAGCGUUUGACACCAGUGUUGUUUUUCUGAAAAUCAAUUAAAGAACUGUUUAUGCUAAGUUGUUUAGACUUUAUCAGCUAACUGUUUAGUUUUGAGCUUUUCUUUAAUGCACUUUUCAGUUAACAAGUCAACAUCAAUUUCUUUUGCUGUAAAAAAGCUUGAGGAAGGUGGCUUGAGAUUCGUCUUAAGUGUUUAUAGCCUCCUGCCUAUGCAGUCGGAGAGAUUGAGGUCUGCAGCGUAGAUCCUUCGGGGCUAAAUGCAUUUGUGCUAAGUUAUAACAUUUUAUAGACAACUUGUUGACUAUGAUUUGUCUUGUAGCUUACUCGCUUAUGUUAUUUUACCUACGCUUAGGAUGUUGAAGAUAUGCGCGACACG